rnacentral:lncRNA from 1 species
GACAUUUUAUGAGAGUCACCUGUUGAGGCAGCUCAAACUUAAUUCAGGAAAACUAUUUCCUUUUGCUAUCAUCUUGACCAAGUCUGCCUUAGGAUACUUGUUACCACAGCCAUUUUGAGCAGAAAAGCAGCAGACAAAAAACAGUGGAGAAGCAUGAUUUACAAAGGAAAAAAAAUGCUCUUUGCAUAUUUAGGAAGAAGUGAUCCAGGUCCCUCAGCCUUUUCUCAUAAGGGAGAUCUAUUCAAGAUGAGUAUAGAGAAAUAA